rnacentral:rRNA from 1 species
AUUGAACGCUGGCGGAAUGCUUUACACAUGCAAGUCGAGCGGCAGCGCGGGGCAACCUGGCGGCGAGCGGCGAACGGGUGAGUAAUGCAUCGGAACGUACCCAGUCGUGGGGGAUAACUGUCCGAAAGGACAGCUAAUACCGCAUACGUCCUGAGGGAGAAAGCGGGGGAUCGCAAGACCUCGCGCGAUUGGAGCGGCCGAUGCCGGAUUAGCUAGUUGGUAGGGUAAAGGCCUACCAAGGCGACGAUCCGUAGCUGGUCUGAGAGGACGACCAGCCACACUGGAACUGAGACACGGUCCAGACUCCUACGGGAGGCAGCAGUGGGGAAUUUUGGACAAUGGGGGCAACCCUGAUCCAGCCAUUCCGCGUGAGUGAAGAAGGCCUCGGUU